rnacentral:lncRNA from 1 species
GGAGUUUUGUUCUCCCACUUUAUCUCUACCUCCAGGUCAUGUCAUCUGGGGGCUUAGUGUGGGCCCUGGGGGGGUGCAGGGUGGUGCUGUCCCCAUCCCUGCUCCGGGCAGGGGGUUGGAGGGAGGGCUGUGUUCCCAGGCAAUGGCAGAGUGUUUCCCAAUGAUAAUCCUUAUCCCAGCCCAGCAUCACUCAGAUGGGACACGUCGAUCCUGCUGGCGACGAUGGGAACACCUGGACCAUAAACCCAGCCUGGCAAGAGCAUCCCUGGAAGGACCUGGUGAGCACAAAGAAACCCCUUUUCCCCAUCUCUUCAGCGUGGCACCAGGCUGCUGGCGGGGAGCCGGCCCAGACCCAAAGGAAGGGGUUGCCAGCUCAGAAGAUGUAUUUUUCUCCAAUGUGACACCCCCUUCUCCUUCUUCCUGAUAUCAUCCACAGACUUCAGGGGUCCACGGAGCCUCAGAAGGAAGAGCUCUGUCCUCGCUGUCACUCCUGUCUCCAGACGUGUCACCACGUGCUCCAGCCCCCCAGGUACUGCAGUCACUCGUCUCUGGAUGUGUCACCACGUGCUCCAGCCCCCCAGGUACCAGGGACACCCCUCCACAGCAAAUGGGUGGCAAAGCGCCCCACAACAUGUGUUUGUGAGGCUGACAGGUGGAAUAAUCAUUAUUAUUACUAUUCUUAUUUAUUAACCCUGAGCAUAGAACCAAUAAGAUUAAAAAUUAGUGGUCUCAAGGCAAAGCUGCAGCGUAUUCAAUAUAUUAUCCGUAAGUGAUGUGCGCAGGAGGGCAGAGUGGGAAGCAAAGGGGAUCUCACGAGAGCCACAAAAACUGGACUUUUAAUUUAAAACUAUCCUUCACUGCCUUGAGUGUCUCUCCUGCGAGUCCAUUUUUUAUUUCCCCCUGUGCAGCAGUAAUCAGGAGGUAACAAGGGAGAAGGGGAAACGGAUUGUCUGGCAGCUCUGUCUGGCCAAUUUCAGCGGUGUAAAUUAUAGAUACAUAUGGUACAAAGGAGUGCUGGGAUAUUAAUUUCUGUUGUUGAAAAUCGCAGACCCUCUGCUUUAAUUUACUGCUAAAUAAUAAAUGACUUCGUAAGAUACUCA